AUGGAGGAACAACUAGAAGUAGAAGAGAAAGAUUGGGGCUAUGACUCAUCUGAUGAGGAUUACUCAUAUGAUGAAGAUUCUGAUGGACAAGUGGUGAGGAGGAAGAGUCAGUUUCCUAGAUACAAUAAUGACACAGAGAUUCCACACUUCAGCUUGACAAUGGUGUUCAGAAGCAAGAACUAGUUGGUGAAAGCACUAAAGAGAUAUGGCAUUGUAACCAAAAGAAGCAUUCAAUUUUUCAAGUCUGAGUCAGAUAGAGUUAGGGCCAAGUGUGGAUGGCCUGAUUGCCCUUGGCUGCUUUAUGCUGCCAAAACCUCAAGAACCAGCAGGUUCUAGAUCAUUACCUUCAAUGAUGAGCACCAUUGUGCACAGAAUAGAGAAAACAAAUUAGUGACUGCAAAAGUAAUUGCCCAGAGGUAUGAGCAUUUUAUUGUAGCAAAUCCAAUGUGGAAGAUUGAGAGCAUGAAGGCAACAGUGCUUCAGGACAUGUUUGCAGAUGUGUCCACUUCUAAGUGCAAGCAUGCAAAGAAGAUUGUGAUGGACAAGUUAAAGGCAGGCAUGAAA
rnacentral:rRNA from 1 species